AACUAUUAUAUAUUUAGAAAUUAAAAAACCCGAAACACGUAUCACCUCUUUGUUAUUCAUGAAAAUUUAGAAAUACAAUAUUUUCAAAUGUAUAGGUGGGUGUACAAGUGACAAUCGCUGAUUUAAAAGUUUGCGUGCAGAAUAUAAUGAGUCGAAGUCUAAUCGGCAAAAAAAAUCAACGAAAUUGUUCCAUUUAAAAUUAUUCUACUUCCUUAUAAGGUCUAUUUUACCUGACGACACUGUUUACAUAACAAAUUUUGACAUACUAGUUACAUUUUAUAAAGUUUGUUUAAACAAAUUUAAGGUCGUCGUACGGGUUUCAAAUGUGAAAAUCUUAUUUACAAAGUAAGCUAUAAAAAAGAACAUUAACGGCCAGAUUUAUACAAAAAAAAUUAAUAAACGAGAAAUAUGUUUAAUGGCAGACAACAACCACCUACAACCACUGAACUACGAGUUCCUGCCGGGGACAGGCUAUUAUGUCCACUUGUAUUCGAGUGCCAUGUAAGAAGUGAGUCCUUAUGAUUUAUUAAUUAUAUCUGUCGAAGCUAUGAAAAUGCAUUCAAAUAUUUUUGAAUAGAAGCAUGAAUACUUGAGUUCAUAACCUGCUUCUACGCACGUGCUUGCCAUAUGAAGACAAGAAGAUGGGGUACACAAAGACAACUAUCCACUAGAAUCCAAAUAUCGUGGAUGCUAGCAACUAUAUGUCACUUUACGGCCUUUAACACUGACAACACACCAUACCCUAUAGUCAGCUAUCAAAGGCUCGACAUAGAAAAAAUGAUAAACAAUGAAAACAAGAAAACCAACGGCCUCAUGUAUGACAAACAAGCAUAAAGGAGCCUCUGGCCUUUGUUAGUCUUGUAUCAUUUUUAAUUUUAGUUUCCUGUGUAUAAUUUGGAGUUUAGUAUGACGUUCAUUAUCACUGAACUAGUAUACAUAUUUGUUAAGGGGCCAGCUGAAGGACGCCUUCGGGUGCGGGAGUUUCUCGCUGCAUUGAAGACCCAUUGGUGGCCUUCGGCUGUUGUCUGCUCUAUGGUCGGGUUGUUGUCUCUUUGACACAUUCCCCAUUCCCAUUCUCAGUUUUAUAAAGCCCGGAAAUAUGAAAGACAGCGACUACAUUUCCGUUUAGACAAUAUUUACAUCACAUAUAUAUUCAUGUAUCAUAAUUUCAAUUAUGCUUUGAUUUCUGCGUUUAUCAACUUGAUACAUUAACAUGCUUUUGUUUCAGGGUUUUAAAAAUAUGUAUUAAGGUUCAGUUCUAAAAUGUUGUUCGCUUCAAGUUGCAGUUUAGCUAGCUUGAUAUGCAUAUUACCUAUUGUAACAAAUGUUUGGAUAUGGAUUUCAUUUGGAACUACAUAUGGGCUAGCUUAUGCACAGAAUCACACAAGUCAAGAGUUUCCAUAUAUAAGUUAUACUGGUGUAGAAGAACCAGAGAGCGGUAUAUUUUCCAUCUUAGUUGCUGUGUCAGCUAUAAUGUUGGUAGUAAAUGCUGAAAUGAGAUACUUAUUUAUUAGAGAAAAGGUGACAAGAAAUCGCGCAAAUUUUAAUAAACACUGGCAGAGAGCAAAUACUGCUGGACUUGUUCUAGCUAUAUUUUCGUCGUUUGGACUGUUAAUGGUAGCAUGCUUUCAGGUUGAUACCAUGUUUCCACCCCAUAUUGUAGGUGCUGCCAUAGCUUUUAUACCACCAGUGGGAUACAUGUGUAUGCAAACAGCUCUCACAUUCAAGAUUAAGAGAGCACGAUGGGAGCGUGUGUGGCAAUGUAUUCAUUCUGUUGUCACAUGUAUAAUUUUUACUAUUUUUAUUGUAUCUUUUAUAUAUUAUAAAAUAGAUGAAAAGGACAAAAUAAAGAAGGUUUUAUUGUUGGCAAAAAUUACAGAACUGCUACUCGCAUUGUUACUUUACGCCUUUAUCUUGUCCUUUGUGGGAUGUUUUAGAGAAAUACGUGUAUUUAAAAUAGACGUUCAGCUAGCCGAAGAUCACUAUAGGAACCGAGAUCAAGAUAAUGGAAAGCUGCAGGAACCUUUAACCGACACUCCGACUGUUUAGCUUUAUAUUAUGUUAUAUUCAUAUUGACAUGCACGGUUAUAUGAUAGAAUGCAGUGAUUAAUUUGGAUUACAAAUAUUGUAUGACAAUGAUGAUUAUAAGACUAUAGAUAAAUGUGAUAUAGCGUUAGAAUGGUAAACUUCCGAGGCAUUGAUGCAUAAUAAUAUAGAAUGUAUAUUUAAGUAUUGUAAAUACAAUAAUUAUAUUUUUCUUUACAACAUAACUAUUUUUAAUUAGUUUUCAGCCAUUUUCAUGAUGCUUGUAAUAAUUUUUGUUUAAAAAUUUUAAAAGAUUUUUUGCAUGUUACAUUUUUUUACUUAUCUAAUUAACAAAUUUCAAUGUACAAAUUAUAUUGAUGAAUAAUUUUAAGUGGUUAUAUUUUUGCAACUUUUAUCUUUUGAAAAUGAUUUUUUUAUGGUUACUGUUAGAAGUUGUUGAUAAUAUGAAUGAGUGAAUAUGAAAUUAUUUGUAACUAUGCCGUGCUUUAACAUUUAACAACAAAAGGUUUUUUUUCUUCAAAAACUUUAUUGAAAAUUAAACUUGAGUCCAACGUACUAUGCAUUGAAUCUUCUGCCAGGAGUUAGAUUUUUUAUUUGGUAGUUUUUCCAUAUAGUAUUGGUAUUUAAAAUAUUAAUAUGAUACCUUGUUAAUAAUGUUAGUUUGUCUGAUACUUGAAUGUUACUGUCUUCAGUAUGUAUAUCAAGUGUACUUCUGAGAACAGAAACAUAUAUCAAUGCAGGACAAUCAAGGGAAGAUCAGUUAGUUUUUGUCAUAGGCAGGUGCUCCUCACAAAAAGGAGCUACUUAUUAAAAGGUUCUUUUGUAUUGUUUGAUUUAAGAAAAAGGAUAUACAAAACAUGAUGUAUACUUAGCAUUAUUAGCAAAUAAUUUAGACAUAUAUCGUUUCUAGUUUUAUUUUCAAGUUAUAUAACUUAACAUAUUUUUUGUUAAAAAAAAACGGUUUGAUAUUGAAUCAUAAAAUUAUGUAAAAUGUAAAUUAUUUCUUUAAGAUAUGAUGUUUACACUCGUUAUGUGUGCACUUAUGAUUAUUUUAUUUUGGUCGAUUAAAAAAUGUUAUAAAAAUAUGUCAAAUCUGAUUGUUUUCUUUACAAUAUACAUAGUACAGUUAUUGAGAAUACCGUACGAAAAUCUAUGUUUAAACAUUCGUAUUGUAGUGUAAAGGAAAUUGGUUUUUAUACGACCGCAAAAAUUGUUUUGGGUUCGUAUAAUACUAUGAUGUUGUCGUCGUCGUCUGUGUCGUCGUCUUCGUCGUCCGAAGACACAUUUGGUUUCCGGACAAUAACUUUAGUCUAAGUAAAUAGAUCUCUAUGAAAUUUUACAAGAAGGUUCAAUACCACAAAUGGAAAGGUUGGGAUUGAUUUUGGGGGUUAUGGUAUUAACAGUUUAGGAAUUAGGGACCAAAAAGGGGCCAAAAACAAGCAUUUUUGUAGUUUCCGGACAAUAACUUGGAUGCAAGUGUAUGGAUCUCUCUGCUCUGACAUUGUACCACAAGGUUCCAUAUCACAAAGGGAAGGCUGUGAUUUAGAUUGGGGGUAAUUGCCCUACACAUGCAGGAAUUGGGGGCAAAAAAGGGGCCAAAACAAGCAUUUUUCUAGUUUCCAGACAAUAACUUGUGUUUAAGUGUAUGGAUUUCUAUAAAUUGUACUACAAGGUUGCAUACUACAAAGGGAAGGCUGGGAUUGAGUUUGGGGGUAAUUGCUCAAACGGGGGGGGGGGGGGGGGGGGGGGGGAGUAUUGCACAAUAUAUUUUUAAGACCUUUGACCACAUUUAUGUUGUGUCAGAAACCUAUAUUAAAUCAAAAAUUUGAUCACAAUCCAAAUUCAGACAGUAUCAAGCUUGAAUAUUGUGUCCAAAUGUGCCCCAACUGUUCAGGGUUCGACCUCUGCGGUCGUAUCAGGCUGCGCUAAGCGAAGCAUUUUAUUUUUUAUGAAUUCGCGACAAAUAAAAUAUUGUUUAAACAUGUCAAACUUAAGACUUAAGUGAAAUUUAGAAAACUCGUACAAGAAAUAUAAGUUCAUGGACUUCCAGAAUGUGUAUUUACACAAUGUUUUAUGUUUCUAAGAGCUUACAAACAUUCAUAAUGAAUCUGAUUUCGAUAACAGUAGAGAUUACUUUUUUAUAAAAAAAUGUAUAAAACUGUUUUAUACAAACUGUGUGUGCUUUCACUACAAAUUUAUAUUUAAUAAAUGACAUUAUUACGUAUUUCAUAAACACUAUACAUAUAUGAUUGACAGACAGAACAAAAACUUUGUUUUUUAUAUGUAGGAAAUAUAGAUCUUAUAUAAGACUAACAUGAAUUAUCAUGAGUUUGAACAUUUUGACUGACGAUUGUGCAAUUCGUGACCAUUAUAAAAUAAGCGUAGAUAGAUGGACAAGCCAACUUAUUUAUUUUAUCGUAUCGUCAACUAUCGUGUCUUACAAUGUACAGUGAAUGACUUUUUACCUUUAUAAAAGUGGCCUACCACAAAGA